CUCUUUCACAGUAAGGCGAAACACGUCGUGCAUUUGUUUACCUGGGGUGCGGGGAUAAAUGGAUGAAUAUACACAAAAGUUGGGCAAACACGGACCCCUGGACACACCAGAGGUGGGAUCAGACAAACACGGACCCCUGGACACACCAGAGGGGGGGAUCAGACAAACACGGACCCCUGGACACACCAGAGGUGGGAUUAGACAAACACGGACCCCUGGACACGCCACAGGUGGGAUCAGGUGCCUAUGAGGAAUAAGCAUCCCCUGGAGAUCGGUCACACCCGCCGCGAGCCCCAUAUCCCGAUCAGGUAAUUCGGAAUACUGUCGGAGACUGAAGAAAAUAGCAGGAAGGUCGUAUAGUGAGAUGUGUUGGAACAAAAAGGGAGAAAAGAAAUUUUUGUCAUUGUAGUAUUAUAUUUGAUUAAAAAAAGAACUAACAACUAAA